rnacentral:rRNA from 1 species
GGCUUUUUAUAAUAAAAAAGUCUGGCCUGCCCACUGAAAGUUUUAAAGGGCCGCGGUACUCUGACCGUGCAAAGGUAGCAUAAUAAUUUGCUUCUUAAUUGGGGGCUAGUAUGAAAGGUUGGACGAGAAAUCAGCUGUCUCUAUCAUUUAUUUGAAUUUAAUCUUUGGGUGAAAAAGCUUAAAUGGUCUUGGAGGACGAUAAGACCCUAUAGAUCUUCAUAACUAAGAAUUAUUUUAUUGGAAGUCUAAAACAAGAAAUUGUAAAGUUAUUUUGUUGGGGAGACACAGAGAAUAAAUAAUCACUCUGGGAUAAAUUAACAAUUACAAUUGAAUGCAGAUCCCUCAAGGAAAAAGGAUUAAGUUACCUUAGGGAUAACAGCGUUAUUUCUUUAAAGAGUUCAAAUCGACAAAGAAGUUCGCGACCUCGAUGUUGGUUCAGGGUUCCUUU